AUUUAAUUAAAUGUAUAGGGUGCUCUUUAAAUAGAGUUAAAAGGGAAAGUGGUGCAAAACCACUACAGCCCCCGCUACUGUAAUUGGGAAUGAAAUCCGAGGAACCAUUAGGAAACUAAGAAGGUCGGAAAGUAAGAUGAUCCAUGAGUCAGGAAACCUGCCUUAUACUAUGACAAAAC
rnacentral:ncRNA from 1 species